AGAUUUAUUGUAAAAACAUUGUCAGCAUGCUAGCAGAAGUAACAUCAAGGAGUGAGAUGAUAUUUCUUAGUACAAAUGCAAAAAAGGAUGGUAAAAGUAUGUACCUGCCAUUGGAAAAUUUAAUUUUUCAAAUAUUUAAAUAUAUCCAGUAAGGAGUCGUUAGGAACUUUUUUGUCGCAUAUGUUUUAAAACGUCUUGAAUAAUAAUAUGUUUAUCAAAAGUGCAUCCUUGAAUACCACGUAUGAUAAAUGUCACAAUAGAUAUAUACACGAGAGGCAAACGGGAGAUCGUAAAACCCUUGACAAAAGCAAAAUGAAUAGUUAUAAACGUCGUUUAAUAUUUUUUAAUUAAAUUUUUAACAGCUUUUUGGCUCGGUGGAUCAGAUCGAGCUACUGAAGGUGUGUGGGUAUGGACAACUAGUGGACAGGGGUUUACAGUAACUGAUUGGCAUACAUAUGCACCUACUUUACACGAAC
rnacentral:lncRNA from 1 species